UUUGCACAUUUAUAAAGAAAAGAAAAGUGGGACAGCGAAAGAGAGGGGUCAUCGGAGAGGAGAGCGAGGUUAUCUGAGCAACGACGACGGCCUCUUUCGUUGCUGUUGUCGGAACCAGUUGUCGGUUUUUGUGGUGGCUAGCGAGUUGGUCUUGAAGAUUGCUACGAUCAAUUAGAGUUUUUUUAUAGCAAUGGAUUCCAACCGGCUUGAUGAUAAGAUUGACGACAAGAGGUACGAUAACGAGCGACGAUCCAUCAACCAUCAAUCGGUUUUUGGAGAUCUAAAAUACAAUAGUCGUUAAUGCCCACAGUUCGGCACAUCAGUUGGUCUUUCAUCGACACAAAUUUUUAUUUUGGUCAUUACACUUCGUUUUACAAUAGUGUUUGAAAGUGAUACAGUAGUCACUAACGCCCACAAUUCGACACAUCAGUUGGUCUGUCGUCGACGUAAAUUUUUCUUUUGGUCAUUAUUCGUUUUAUAGUAGUGUUUGAAAGUGUUCUAUUACUCGAUUUGUAAUGUUAAUUUUCGAUAAAUAAAUUGUUAUAUUUGUUGGGCAUCUAGCGGUGAAAGUAU
rnacentral:lncRNA from 1 species